rnacentral:rRNA from 1 species
UACCAGCUCUCCGAGUGGUAGGGAUGAUUAUUGGGCUUAAAGCGUCCGUAGCCGGCUUAGCAAGUUUCCUGUUAAAUUCAGCGACCUAAUCGUUGAGCCGCGGGAAAUACUACUAGGCUAGGAGGCGGGAGAGGUCAACGGUACUUCCGGGGUAGGGGUGAAAUCCUAUAAUCCCGGGAGGACCACCAGUGGCGAAGGCUGUUGACUAGAACGCGCUCGACGGUGAGGGACGAAAGCUGGGGGAGCGGACCGGAUUAGAUACCCGGGUAGUCCCAGCUGUAAACGAUGCGAGCUAGGUGUUGGGAUGGCUACGUGCCAUUUCAGUGCCGCAGGGAAGCCAUUAAGCUCGCCGCCUGGGGAGUACGGCCGCAAGGCUGAAACUUAAAGGAAUUGGCGGGGGAGCACCACAAGGCGUGAAGCUUGCGGUUC